rnacentral:rRNA from 1 species
GAUGAACGCUGGCGGCGUGCCUAACACAUGCAAGUCGAGCGAAGCACUUUGCUUAGAUUCUUCGGAUGAAGAGGAUUGUGACUGAGCGGCGGACGGGUGAGUAACGCGUGGGUAACCUGCCUUAUACAGGGGGAUAACAGUUAGAAACGACUGCUAAUACCGCAUAAGCGCACGGUAUCGCAUGAUACAGUGUGAAAAACUCCGGUGGUAUAAGAUGGACCCGCGUCUGAUUAGUUAGUUGGUGAGGUAACGGCUCACCAAGACCGCGAUCGGUAGCCGGACUGAGAGGUUGAACGGCCACAUUGGGACUGAGACACGGCCCAGACUCCUACGGGAGGCAGCAGUGGGGGGAUAUUGCCACAAUGGGGGAAACCCGUAGAUAGCAGCGACGCCGCGUGGAGGAAGAAGGUUUACGGUAGUGUAACUACCUCGUC